rnacentral:lncRNA from 1 species
GGAGUGGGGGGGUAUCUUGAAACUACCCCGGCGGGGAUGGGGGGAGCAGCGGAUAUUCCUGGAUAGGAACUACGAUCGCAAGAGUGCCAGAGGUUGUUUAAGAAGCAAAACUGUUGGUGGCAACCUGAGCGCUGGAAGCCGAAGGGAGGAAGAAGGAGACGCGAAGCCGGGGCGGCGGAGCAGGGCGGCCGGCACAAAGGAGGCGGACUCGCGGCGGCAGCGUAUGCCCGCGCCGGGGGAUGCACGGCCCGCGGCCCUGCUAGACCGAAGUCCCGCACUGGCAGCUACGAAUAAAGUUUACAUUCUCCUGAGACCGCACCCCCCACCUCCCACCCAGGACCGCGCUUCUCCGCGUCCUCCUCCCCCAAACUGCACUCGGGACCCCGAGCACCAUCCCAGCCUUCCAGCCAGCACAACAAAGAGACACACCGACCGGCGAGGGUAAACAGCCGCGGCAGGGCGAGCAGGGCGGGCAGAGCGAGCGCCUCGAGAUAAGCAACUCCCGAGUCUUCCCCGCUCGCCGGAACGUAGUUUCUCCUUUUCUGUUUCAACCGGCUUUACAUUUGGAAUCUUCAUCUUCUCCCGCACCCCUCACACCCAAGGAUUUUAAACUCACCUUUACUUUCGAACUGAGAGUUGCGGUGGAUGGGAUUUUUGCCUUCUCCAGAUGGUUGAAGGUUACGAUUUUUGUUUUUGGAAACCCUACCACCUCCUUAUUUCUAUUACUAUUUUUGCAAGAAAAGUAUAAAGAGAGUUGGAGUGGAGGUGAGAUUUGUGAUCGGGAAAGCCCUGGACUCCCUCCUUCUCCGUCUUCCGCCUCUCUCUUCUGAUUAGUUCCUAUCCAGCAGCAGAUUGAAGCAGGAGAUGAUUCUUCUCAAGCACCAAAGCACGAAGAAGUCCCAGGAGUCAGGGAUCAAACCCAUGCCACAGCAGUGACCCAAGCCACAGCAGUGACAACAUCAGAUCCUUAGCCCACUUGGGCCAUCAGGGAACACCCAAAACAUUGAAUUUUACCCUAAGUAGGAAACUGCUGUGUAGUUUUGAGCAAAGAAAUGACAUGGUCUGAUUUAACUUUUAAAAAGUUCUCUCUGGCUUCAGUUUUAGAAUAGUCUGUAGCUAAACAAAAUGGAAUUUAGACCAUAUAGGAAGCUGCUAAAAAAUUCCAAGCAAAGGAUGAUCAUACUAAGCUUAGAAAUGAGGGCAGAGAUUGAAGUAGUAGAAAGUGGUCAGAUUCUUUACAUUUGAAGGUAGAGGUAAAGGAUCUGUUAAUGGAGUUUGAUAUGUAAUAUAAGAAAAAGAUUGCCAGUGCAUGACUCCAGAGCUUCUGUCCUCAGAACUAAAAGCAAAAAGUUAGCAUUUAAUACAUAGACUGCAAAAGAGUUGCUUUGGGUGAGGGAGUUGGGGUUUGGUGUAAAUCAAUAGUUUGGUAUUUAUCAAGCUGAAGAUGCUAACUAAAUACCCAGGUGGCAAUGUUAAGCACAAAAAUGACUCUAUAAGUUUGGAGUUCAGGGAAAGGUCCAGGCUGGAGAUAUAAAUUUGGGAGUUACUUGCUUAUAGUAUUUAAAAUAUGAAAUGGUAGGACUCCCCUGGUAGCUCAGCAGGCUAAGGAUCCAGCAUUGCCCAGAAACUUCUGCAUGAUGUGGGCAUGGUCAAAAAAAAAAAAAAGACAUGGUGAGAUCAUCACCAUGCCCUCUAAUACUGUGGUAACUUAGAAGCUGGAGAUAUGAGGAAAAACCAGGAAAAUAAGGGAUGGCCACUAGUGAAGAGAGUGAAAAAACAAAGAGCAAUGUUUUAAAAAUCAAAUAAAAAACAUGUUCAAGAAGGACAUAGUGAUAAAUCGUUUCAAUUGCCAUUGAUAAACUAAGAGUAAAAAUUAGCAAUUGGAUUGGAAACGUAUACACAUCACAGCAUUUUCACUGAAGUGGUUCCAGAAAGUUAAAAAACAAAACCAUCUUUCAGUUCAGGAGUACGUCUUUAUGAAGUUUUUUUCUAUAUGGGUUGGGAAAAUAAAUAUUUUCUGAACCCUUGAAAAUCUGAGAAUAUUUUCAGGUUCUUUUCAUACAUGAAAGACAAAUCAGUUAAGCACAAAAUUCUUUUUUUUUUUUUUCCCCUUCUUUCUUUCUAGAGCUGCACACAUGGAAUAUGGAGGUUUCCAAGCUAGGGGUUGAAUCGGAGCAAUAGCCGCGAGCUUACACCACAUCCGAGCCGUGUCUGUGACCUACACCACAGCUCAUGGCAAUGCCAGAUCCUUAACCCACUGGGCGAGGCCAGGGAUCAAACCCUCAUGGCUCCUAAUCGGGUUCAUUAACUGAUGAGCCAUGAGGGGAACUCCUGAGCACAAAAUUCUUAAAUCAAUUUUAUCCUUCCUCUUAAAAUUCUCUCUCUCUCCACGGUCUUAGGGAAUUUAUAGAGAGAGUUGAGACCAUCCUGAUUUUUACUUUAAGUAAAUGAUUCUUUUGCUUAGUUGUUUAUCCUUAUUACAAUAAUUCAAAAAGACAUCAGUUGCAUUUAAGAAUGGUUCUCUUUUACCUUGAUUUUUCUUUUAUUAGGCUGAAUUAUUUAAUUAGAAUAUUUAGAUUAAAAAUCUUACAUUUUUAAUGUUUGCUUCUUUUCCAGUUAUUUUACAGGAUACCUAAGUUGAAUAUGUUUCUGUUAUAAUAUGAUUUGCAUAUUUUCUUCUUCUUUACCUCUGCUUAUAUAGUAAACUCAAGAUAGUUAUCACUGAU